rnacentral:tRNA from 1 species
CGGGGAGUAGCGCAGCCUGGUAGCGCGCCUGCUUUGGGAGCAGGAGGUCGCGGGUUCGAACCCCGCCUCCCCGA